rnacentral:rRNA from 1 species
GUAGGUGGCGUGCCCCGAGGUCGAGGAUAGCCAUGGGAAACCGUGGGUAAUACUGGAUGAUCUCCCCGGGUCGGAAGACCUGGGGGGCAAAGGUGUGAUUCCGCCUUGGGAGCGGCUUGCGUGGUAUUAGCUUGUUGGUGAGGUAACGGCUCACCAAGGCAACGAUGCCUAGGGGGUGUUAGCGCAUGACCCCCACGACUGGGACUGAGAUACUGCCCAGACACCUACGGGUGGCUGCAGUCGAGAAUCUUCGGCAAUGGGCGCAAGCCUGACCGAGCGACGCCGCGUGCGGGAUGAAGGCCCUUGGGUUGUAAACCGCUGUCAGAGGGGAUGAAAUGCGGGUGGGCAAUCCCAUCCGUUUGACAUAGCCUCAGAGGAAGCACGGGCUAAGUUCGUGCCAGCAGCCGCGGUAAUACGAACUGUGCAAACGUUAUUCGGAAUCACUGGGCUUAAAGGGUGCGUAGGCGGCCAUUUAAGUAGGGUGUGAAAGCCCCCGGCCCAACCGGGGAACUGCGCCCUAAACUGGAUGGCUC